GUGGCAACAAGCCAAAUUGCGGGAAUUCUGUAAAUCCAAUAACGUGCACCUCUCUGCAUAUUCGCCGCUUGGUUCUCCAGGUACAACAUGGCUUAAAAGUGAUGUGCUAAAGCAGCCAGCUGUAAUCUCAGUUGCUGAGAAAUUGGGCAAGACUCCGGCACAGGUUUGUCUUCGUUGGGGCAUUCAGAUGGGUCAGAGUGUACUUCCUAAGAGCACACAUGAAGCACGGAUUAAAGAGAACCUUGAUGUACUGAACUGGUCUAUACCUGAUGACUUGCUUGCCAAGUUCUCUGAAAUUCCACAGGCAAGGUUGCUGAGAGGUGCUUCAUUUGCUCACGAGACGCAUGGCCAGUACAGAACACUUGAAGAGCUCUGGGAUGGUGAGAUUUAGGGUCACAAUAUGAAUUAACUGUUGAAUCCAUUUGUCUCGGAGAUUUAAGCUUCUUGUGCACUUCCUUUUCCUUUAACUUUUGGAGAUAGGUGAAUUGUCAAACCAUUAGAUGUAGGUUUCCUUGCACCCCUGCCCCUCUAUUGACUCUAUGCUGGAAAACCGUUCACGAAAUCUUGCAGAUUCUACGAGACAGUAUUCAAACAAUUUGAUUUGCUGGG
rnacentral:misc_RNA from 1 species